UACGGAGGGGGCUAGCGUUGUUCGGAAUUACUGGGCGUAAAGCGCACGUAGGCGGCUGCCUAAGUCAGAGGUGAAAGCCUGGAGCUCAACUCCAGAACUGCCUUUGAGACUGGGCGGCUUGAAUCCAGGAGAGGUGAGUGGAAUUCCGAGUGUAGAGGUGAAAUUCGUAGAUAUUCGGAAGAACACCAGUGGCGAAGGCGGCUCACUGGACUGGUAUUGACGCUGAGGUGCGAAAGCGUGGGGAGCAAACAGG
rnacentral:rRNA from 1 species